GCCGGCGGAAUUGGGGCGGCCGUCGGCAACCCUGCUGACGUGGCAAUGGUACGGAUGCAGGCCGACGGGCGGCUACCCGCCGCGCAACGGCGGAACUACAAGAGCGUGGUGGAUGCAAUAACCCAAAUGAGCAAAAACGAGGGCGUUACUAGCCUGUGGCGCGGUUCAUCCCUUACGGUGAACCGCGCCAUGCUGGUGACGGCCUCACAGCUUGCGUCUUACGACGAGUUUAAGGAGAUGAUUUUAGGUAAGGGUUUGAUGAAAGACG
rnacentral:lncRNA from 1 species